GUGGGCGUAGCUCAGUUGGUAGAGCUCCGGAUUGUGAUUCCGGGGGUCGCGGGUUCAAGCCCCGUCGUUCGCC
rnacentral:tRNA from 1 species